UUAAAAUCUUUAUUAAAUAAAUAAAUUGAAGUUGGCUCAUAAUAAGAUUUUCCAAAAAUUCUAAGUCUUACAUAUUGCGAAACCAAGUAAUAAUUUGAUGAUUCUUACUAUCCCAGUCCUCCGAUUUUUCGGCAAAAUCCUUGUUAGCAUCAAAAGAUUCAUAACAAGGUUCUGAGAAUCGGACCGGUCAUCAAACCGCUCUAGUCACUGGUUCACUGAUUUAUUGGUCCAACCGGUUCAACCGGUGGUUCAACCAAAAAAACCGUUUUAGAAUAAAAUAAUAAACAAAUUAUAAAUAUGCAAGUAUUAAGUUGAGGGUAUAGGGUAGUAUGAAAUUUUUCCAAUAGAUACAAUUCCUCAUCAGUACACAAAAUGUUAAAAGAAAUAUCUCACAAGAAUAGGGAGAAUAUCAAAUGAAUUAUCCUAAAUCCAACUGAAAAAAAUAAACAUAGUACUUGGAUAAACAAAUUUGAUAACAUUAUUAAUAACAAAGUUGGCAGUGGACUACUGCUAGAAAGACUUCACCAAAUGAAAGAGCAUGCAGGCUUUGAGAGACAAUAGACUUGGAUUUGUGCAGCAGCAUUUUGGAUGAGUUGCUUUGAGGACCAUUUGGCGAAACUAAGCUUUCUUGGUGAAACUAAGUGCUCAUAACAAACUAAGAUUUCUUGGUGAAACUAAGUGCUCAUAACAAACAGAAACAGUUUCUCAAGAUACAUAAAUAAGUGCUCAUCCUCUGAAAAUAAUCAUCUGAAUUGGUACAAGGCAGGAAAAAAUGACCAUAAAUCUCUUUACCCAAGUCAAAAUAAACAACUAUAUCUGAACUCAACAAUCAGCCUUCAGCACCAAACAUUACAAAACAUUAACCAAUAAUCACACUAAACCUGCAACCAGCAAUUACAAAACAUCAACUACAAAACAACAACAAACAUUGUACAUUAUAAAACAUUCCAAAAUCAGUGAUGACACUAAACCUGCACCCAGCAACCAGCAAUUACAAAACAGCAACAAACAUACAAAACAUUACAAAAUAUUACAAGAAAAUUUGAACAAAAAUUUCAGAAAUUAAAAGAAAGAAGAAGAACCGAGCAUUCAGAAAUUAAACAAAUAAGUAACUAUUUCAACAAAUCAGUAACUAUUUCAACAACAAAUUAAAUACCAACAGCAGCAAUGCAGCAUAACAAAUCACUGAUCGCAAAUUUCAAAUUCAAAACACUGAUCACAAAUUAAUUAAUUUCAGAUUCAAAAAUCACAAAUCACUCAUCAGACAUUCAAAAUCAAAUUCAUAACACUGAAACAGCUCAAAAUAAAAAACAAAUUUCUUGAUUUUAGCUAAAUAAUUUUUGGUAGAAAGACUCGGUUUCUUCACACUUUUUAUUCUUGAAUUGUCUCAAUUUUGUUUUGUUUGAACUUUGAAGCAAUGAAGUGCUGCUACAACUUGAAUAUUGCUACAACUUGAAUAUUUGAAUAGAGAGGAAUGCUAGGAGGCCAGCAAUUUUUGUAAUUUGUAGCCAUCAAAUAGCCAUCAAUGAUGAUUUUAAUAGUGUGAGAUUGGUGUGAGAUUUCAUCCAAUGGCUCACUUUGUUUUGCUGGCUACAUGCUGGCUAGAAUUUGACAAAGUUGCUGGCCCCUAGACUUUUUCUUGACUAAAUGCUUAAAAGACUGAAUACC